rnacentral:misc_RNA from 1 species
GCUAGAAGUGCUCACGGUAUGAACAGAAAACUCUCCCAUGAAUUUUGCUAGUGAAUAGUGAUGAUUGAUAGGGAUAUUUGCUGAAGUAAUACAAUGUGAAUCUUAUACAUCCACUUUCCAAGUUGGAUAAUCCAUGUGAUGAUGAUGAAUUGCACACGUUCUGAUUGCCAUUAUUACAUUCAAGCGUAUACACAAUAUGUUUGCUUCAUUCAAUUUAUCUAUUCAUGUAAUUCCAAUCUUUAUUUUGCAGAUAUUGAAGCCAGCUUUUACA